UGGGGAAUUUUGGACAAUGGGGGCAACCCUGAUCCAGCAAUGCCGCGUGAGUGAAGAAGGCCUUCGGGUUGUAAAGCUCUUUUGUCAGGGAAGAAACGGGAGUGGCUAAUAUCUGCUUCUAAUGACGGUACCUGAAGAAUAAGCACCGGCUAACUACGUGCCAGCAGCCGCGGUAAUACGUAGGGUGCAAGCGUUAAUCGGAAUUACUGGGCGUAAAGCGUGCGCAGGCGGUUUUGUAAGGCUGUUGUGAAAUCCCCGGGCUUAACCUGGGAAUGGCAAUGGAGACUGCAAGGCUAGAGUUUGGCAGAGGGGGGUAGAAUUCCACGUGUAGCAGUGAAAUGCGUAGAGAUGUGGAGGAACACCGAUGGCGAAGGCAGCCCCCUGGGUCAAGACUGACGCUCAUGCACGAAAGCGUGGGGAGCAAACA
rnacentral:rRNA from 1 species